rnacentral:lncRNA from 1 species
CCUAGAGAUCUUGAAUUAUUAAUUUUACCAUGGUUUUGAUUACCAAACUUGUCCAACAAUAUUGCCUCUUGCAUUUGUAGAAGUGAGAAAUUACGGUCUUUGAUGUUUAGGCUCUAAAAUCCUUGAUCUGAAUGUAACAUGUGUUCCUGUUUCAUACAAAGAAAACUUGUGAGUUUAAAACAUGGUGGCUAGUUUGUGGCUUUAGCUUUCGCGGCAAUCGCUCUUGCCCCCAUCAUAUUUAACCGUGCUUCCAACCAUUAGCAUAUGUCAUCGACUUGCUACAUCAUUAACCAAACUCAUAUUAUCACGAAUGACUCUGAAACAAAUAUAGUAUCUCUAUUUUGCCGUGUUUCUUAGAUAAACCCUUUGAACCUUGGUAUUUCCAUGAGUUCCCAAGCUUUUCUGUUGACAAAACUUUCUGUAUGCCUUAUUCGGCUCACAAUCAUGUCUCUUUCAUGUGUUGGUCUUUUGCCUUGCUUUGUGUAAUUGAAAAAGCUGGUAGCCAGUUUUGAAAUCUUUUCUCACUUGUUUUGAUAUGGACUUGACUCAAAGACAAGAAAAAAAUGACAAUGGCUUUUAUUGGAUAACUGACUCAAGAAAAUAAAAUAAAAAUAAAAAGAAGAAAGAAAAGACAAUAAAUGUCCCCUUUUGAAACAAAGAAACGAAAAAUUCAUCUAAAAAUGAUAGUCAACACUAAUGAUUAUGCUAUACAUUUUGGAUUAACCAACUUAAAAUUUUCAUCCAAACAUUCUAUCCAUUGUUGUUGAGUUAAUGGCCUUGAAACUAAGUUUCUUCCUUAGGUCAAUUGUAUUUAAGACCUCAUUCGGCUAGUGGCGCCUUGAAGGGUUUUCGCCUACAAGCUUCUCUCAUUUUGUUUUCCUUAGUUUACCAUUGCCUUAUGGUGUCUGUAAGGGUUUUCCACUAAUGAGACUUUCUUAUCUUCAUUUCCCUUAACUCACAGUCGUCUUACGGUGCCCGUGAGAGUUUUCACUCAUAAGAAUCUCUCAUUUUUAUCUCUCUCAACUUACCAUCGUCUUACGGUGCCCGUGAGGGUUUUCAUCAAUAAAACUCUCUAAUUUUUAUUUCUCUCCUGAUUUCUUAUCCUGAGGAAGACAAGUAGUUCCCAAAUGCAUCAUCAUAUCCCUUGUAUGCUUAGCCUUAACAUCCUCAAAUAUUGAUCUGAAGGUCUUUCUUUGGUUGUAACUUAGAUUUUGGAUAGGGUUAGAAAGAAAGGAUGACAUAGGGCCCAAACAACACUUGAAGUGGGGUAGGACUUACAACUUUUGGAAUCGACUCAAACAAUAAGGAUUAACUCAUGCCCCAUUUUUUUUUGACUGGGUGACUCUAAAUUAUCUAUUUGGUUGAACCGAGCCCUUAGUAGGGCAGCAUACGUAUCCACCCCCGAGAAAGGAGAAUCAGGUCAUGCAUAGUUCUGGCGGCUUGUUCUUUUGCUUGAUUUUGAUUUUUUUUCCUUUUAUUGACUUUUUCUCUUUGGAACUCUUCUGACUCUAUUUUUCUGGAUGCUCUUUUCUUUUCUUUCAUUUUGGACACAUUUUUUUCUCUCCUUUUUUUUGAAACUAUCCUAACACAAUUUUUUUGCUCGACACUUUUCUUUUUAGCUUUGCUGAUUCUAUCUCGACUCCAAAAGAGGUGUAUGAAAGAAAAUAAAACUAAGGCUCAAAUAGGGUAAAUAAAGGAUGACACAAUGUUUGGAUAGUAGAAUGAAAUGCUUUCGUUAUAUCAAUCCUUGAAAAUGCUAGUACACAUCAUGCAAUAUGAACAUGACAGGUGAAGAUCAUUUGUGACAUCUUUAGAGCAUUAACCUCAACUAAACAUGUGUGUCACUUCUUCUUCUAUACUUGUCCAGCAUACAACUCCCCCUUUGUUAUGCAUCCCUCAUAUCGAAUGAUUCAUGCUUUUAUGGAGCAGGUUUCUUUUUGUUCCUCUUGAUAUAGGAUCACGCAACCACUGUUUGACCUAAUUGAGAUAUGUUUUUCAAUUGAUGGCCAAGUUAUUCUUGUGAUUCCUAAAAUAAUUGCCUUAAUUUUCAGAAAAGGCUUCAACUUGUCACCAAAUGUCUCAACACUCUAUCUAUUUUCUCAAAUGUUUCUUCUAACCUUAGCCCUCCGAUUUCAUAUUUCAUGGUUAAAUUGAAUUUUAAGAUCUGGCUGAAAAUUUUGCAAGCAUGCCGUAUCAUUAGAGUCAACCUAAAAUGUACUGUAAAAGAAAACAAACAAACAAACAAAACAUAUUUAAAAUAUAAAGGGAAAGGGACACUUCAUUUAGUUGAAAAUAAAGAUAGAAAGGUUUGAACAUAAACAACCAAAGGAAAUUCUAAACUACAACCCUGAAAUACUUCGAAAAACAGAAAAAAAAUAAAAAAUCCCACCAGACCUCUUCCUAGUAGGGAGAGGGGUGACUUGUCAAUUGCUCAGCCUGACAACUUAGCCACUGAUUUACAUAUCAAUAUGACUGGAGCUUCCCUCACUGCCAAUGUUCUGCACCAUAAUUGAUUCAUCUUUUCAAUUUCUCUUUUCAAAUCUUUACAACCUUCAAUACUAUGACCCUGAGCAUCAGAAUGAUACACACAUCGUGCAUUAUGAUCAAAAUUUUUUGAAUGCUGAUUAAGAGUGUGCCCAAGGAGAGGAGUAAUCAUGCCUCUCUGUCUCAAUCUCUAGAAUAAACAGGCAUAAGAUUCCCCAAUAGGAGUGAAAUUAUCCUUUUCCUUCCUCAUCUUUGUGAACUCUGGCCUCGAAUGAAACUUGGAUUUAGAGGUUCCUUGGUAAAUUUGUGAGGAUCGAGGAUGAUGUUGAGGGAUAGGUGCAUGCCAUUGUGGAUAAGAAGUCGGAUGGGUAAAUAAUUGUGCAUUGAAUUCAAAGGACAUUGAGGAAAUAGAAUGAAACUCCUUGGAUUUUGAAAAGAGGAAUCUUGUUGCAGAUGAGUAAGUGGAUUUUAUAUGAAAGAUCGGGAUUGAGGCUGACAGUAUUGAUGAGUUGGACCUCUCAAACUCUGCUUUGGCCCUGGCACGACAAUAGGUGUGUUUUCCUUCUUCUUUUCUUCAGUUUCCCUGGGUUGAUUGCAAUAUCAUCCCAAAUGUUUCACAGAAUCCUUUUGCCCAUCAUGUUCCUCAAAUUUUGAUAUCUCAAAGCUUUGAAGAAGGCUGACACUUGAAGACAUGCCCCAGUCUUUAUAUGAAACAUCUUCUUUACCCACAAGUCCCAAGAAACUUUCCAUAUCAUUUUCUACACUCUUCACUUUCCCCACCAUUUUCUCUGACUUUUCUGGUAUGCUAGGAUUCUUGGUAAGAAAUUUUGGCGGUCCACUUAACUUAACUGUAGUCUCAAGAGUAUAGCAAUAAUGAUAAAGAGCCUUGAAUAUGAGGUCUUUAGCAGAUUGGGGCAGCACAACCGUUGGAUUGAUAGCCAAUGUGGAAGCCUCAGUAGAAGGUUGAGCAACAAAAGCACAGACGGUAUGUGGUGCUAUGAAUGUGGUAGGCUUAUACUGAGGAUCUAAGGAAUGAGAGGCGGAAGCAUUGGGGUGCAUUUGACGUGAAAUGGAUUCUAUGGCAUGCUGUGGUGCAUCAACAACAGUAAGAAAUUGAAUUUGCGAUUUUGGUGGAAGACUCAAGGUAUUUACAGGGUCAAUAGCAGAAAAUAGAUGAGGAGGCAACCCACUGACCCAAGCUCGAUGCAUUUCUGUCAUUUGUUGCCUUAGUCUCCUAAUCUCUUGCUUUAAACUCUCAUUUUCAUGACUCUUUAUUUGAUCCAUGAUGUCACUCUCUAGAUCUUUGUUGAACACAACUAACCCUUUAAAUUUGUUGUGAUAUGGAGGACCAGCCAGAAUGCCACAAACCAACCACCUUAAACUGACUCAACAAAAAACAACAAAUGUGUUAGAGUUCAACACUUUUUCAAAACUCUUUUUCCUUUUUUUUUGAAAAGAUCACCAAACCCAAGAAGGGCGCCUACGUAUCUCACUCCCGAAAGAGGAGAAUCAAGUGUGCGUAGUUCGUGAAGUCUUGCCAAAAUGGCCAAUUAAUUCUUUUUCCUUUCUUUUUUUUUUUAGAAACUUCAUAAAUAAAAAAUUGACAAAAGAAUUGAUGAAAAUCUUUUUGCAUUUUUCAGGUUUAAACUCCCUAUACAAAACGAAAUCUAUGAUUACCAAAGAAAAAUCUUUUUGGGUUUCAAUUUUUGAAUUUCAUACAAAAAUGAGACUUGAAGCUAUUAACAAAAAUUUUUUUUGUGAUUUUCUUUUAAAAAUGUAUAGGAAACACCUACUUUAAAGGAAAAGUGAAGAAAAUCUUUUUUUUUUUUGGAUUUUUCAAAUAAAAUCCCCGAACCAACAAUAGGCUGCCUACGUAUCUUACUCCUGAAAGAGGAGAAUCAGGGGUGCGUAGUUCGUCCAGGUUGGAUAAUUAAGGAUUAAAACGAACUAAGACUUGACUUAAGAAAUGCGAUUACAGACGAAUGAUGAAAAUUAAAUCUUUUUGGGUUUUCAAUUAGACACUUCACACAAAACUGGCACCAACAACUAUGAAAGAGAAAAGAAAUCCUUUUGGUAUUUUCGUUAUAUGAGAUGUACAAAUCUCCUACCAUCUUUUUUACAUUUUUUCUUUAUAAAAGCUUCUAUUAAAAAAAUCUUUUUAAAGUUUUCGAAUUAUGAAUGCAGGGUAAGGGAACAAAAGAAAAUCUUUUGAUGUUUUUUUUUUUCAGACAAUGAGUGCGAAAGGUAACGAAAAUCUUUUUUUUUUAAUCUUUGAAUUGUGAAAAACAAAAGCCAUAAAAACACUAAAAACUACGCAACUUUCUUUUUUUGACUCACUUUUCUUUUCUUCCCUUUUUUUUUCAACACUUUCUUAUCUACAGACUUUACUUCUAACACAUGUUUUCUCCAAAUCGGUCUGUCAAAUGACCACGCUACCCUCUGAGAUGCGACAUUUAGCACGUAGGGAUGCUUUAAAGGUGAAUUUCCUAUGAAGGAUCAAGUGGACCCCGCUAGAUCUUCAUAUGAUGCAGAUAAGCAUGACCUAAAGACUGACGUACGUUGGGGUUUACUAACAAGGAUUUUCGGGAGAGCGUAUAGUCGAUAGUGGCUUGCUUUAGCUGGCCACCUACUCCAUUCAACCCAACGGCUCCCCCUCCUAAAAUAAGGUUGACUCAACUAUAGGUCGUGUACACACGUGUACUACGAACUUGUUGCAGAAAGAAAUACUCGGGUUAUGCACAUGAUGCCAGGUAUAAAGCGGUAACACAUAAAGUUAAAACUGUAAACAAAGAGCACGUAGGCACUCAACAAUGAUAAACAAUAACACAAAACAACACAAACAAAAUGUCUAUUGCCAAACUAAGCCGAUAUAACUCCAAAAUAAGCUCGAAUUCUAAAAAAUCCCCAGUAGAGUCGCCAGAGCUAUCACACCACUUUUUAUUAACUUCAAAAGAUAUCAUUUUCAGUUUCAAAGGGUUUUUAUUAUCAAAGUGACAAGAUGAAAAUUGUUUCGAAAAAGGAUUAUUUACAUUUUUUAUUCAGAGUUGCCACUUGGCAUAAUCCGGUAUGCCAAGUCACCUUUAAAAAAUCUUUUACAAAACCGUUUGACUCUUUGAAACUGGUUUGCGAAAAGAGAUUCCGAAUAAGAAAUUAUGUUGACCGAGGGAAAGGUGUUAGCCACCCCUCGGUCCCGUGUUUCAACCACGGUUGCUUGGUGGAGCAUAUCGGCUAAUUUUUGGGCACUAAGAAUGUAUAAACCACAUAAAACACAUAAGCAAACACCCAAACACACGAAACAAAAUAAAUCCAAAGUAUAGUGUUCAGUCCGAUUAUACAGUCCAAAAAUGAAUAAAAAAUCCAAAAAUAAAUCCUAUCUACCUACACUAAUCCUAACUACUCCCUCGCUUUACCCGAUGCCUCGGGCCUUCAUCACGAUCGUCUUCCACCAACAUAGUACGUCGGGGCAUUCUCCGAUGAGUAAAUACAAUGUAUCUCGGGACAUUCCCCGACUAAAUAAAUAUAUUUGAAUUAAAUACGAUAAACUAGAAAGAAACAUUCACACGCACAUUCCAAUAUUCAACCAAAACAUCAUUCCUAAAUUUUUCCUACCCGAACCUAUAUUGCCUAUCCAUUUCAACAUGGCAUAAAUCUAUCACAUUCAUACUUAUACCGAAUUGAACAAAAAGACAACAAAACAAAAAUUAAUCUACAUUCAACUUUUAUCAAUUUCUCCCUUCCCGCCCUAAAUUCUCUUUUCAACCAAAAUUAACACAUGCCUCGAUUAUCAACUCAAUUUUUAACUCGGAAUCCAAUAUCAACAACAUAUACAUAACGACAAUUAAAGCAUGAUAAUCAUACAAAUUUCACAUGAAUAACAUCAAACAUUCAACAAAUCAUCCGAUUUCAAACAUGCCCAAUUCAACAAAUUGCGAUAAAGAAGAGAGAAUGAGUUAAAGAAAUGGACCUUUCGAUAAUCAAUUUUGGUUGGUAAUAAUAUUAAAGAAGCCCAAACUUGGAAUUUCAGAUGGAAUAACCUUAGCUGCGACUAAUCCAACUCAGUAAUCGAGAAAUUGAAGCUCAAAACUAAUGGCGAUGAACCGAUCAACACAAACGGGACUCGAAUUCCAAACCAGUAACGAAGCUAGACAAACCUAGAUCGAGAAAACAGCCACAAAAUUGACCACGAUGGGCCUAAUUGAAACAAACAGUCGCUAAAUCCCAAAAUAGUAUGAAAAAUCAGAGGUACGAACUAGAAAUCGUAUCAAAACUUAGAAUUCGAAUCGUGAAUUCGAAAGACCCGACUCGGACGGACUGAUUUCAACCAGAAACUCAAAUAAAACAAAGGGAUUUUUGCGGUAUUUUUGGGAUCAAGACAGAAUCUGGACCUACGAUAUUUGAAUCUCACUAGUAAAUAACCAAAUCCCGCACAUAACACGCCAGAAUCACACCCCAGACGCAAAAAUUCGUGUUUCCAGUGAGGUUCGAGUGCGUGGCUGCCUUUCCCCUUUCCGAUCUACUCCAUUUUUUGUUUUUGAAUAUCGCGUGAGAGUGUGUACGAGAUUUGUGAGGAAGCUCAAAAAUGGGUCUCUGUAUGUGUGUGUUUAUGGUGUAUCCAGUGAGGGAGUGGAGGAUUUUUUUUCUGUUGUCUUUAAUGGAAAAAAAAUGGCCUCUUCGUGUAUGGCAAUAGUGUAUGUAUAUGAUCAGAGAAUUG